rnacentral:tRNA from 1 species
ACGUCAACGCGCUGAAUGGUACAGCACGAUGCUUUUAACAUCGAGAAGCGGGUUCGAUUCCCGCCCUUACGUA